AGACACACACAUUCUCUGAUGCACUCGCAAAUUAUUGUUAUAUGUUUUAGUUUAAUUCAGAUCCAUGCAGCCUCUCUACCUUUGGAAGUGCUGCAAUGGAUCCUUUCCCUGGGGUCCAGUGCAGCUGCUGUGAUACUGUAAUCUUUAAGAUCUUCUUGCUCUGCUCCUUUGCUGCCUACAGGGUGUGCAAAGGAGCAGAGAAGGAGAGCAGGAAGAUCUUGCUGCACACUUCCAUUCUGCACAAUCACCCACUCUGAGGGGCAAUAAGGUAGCAAGUGCUGAACGGGCUGACAAAUCCCAGGCACCAG